rnacentral:rRNA from 1 species
ACUCCUGCGGGAGGCAGCAGUGGGGAAUAUUGGACAAUGGGCGCAAGCCUGAUCCAGCCAUGCCGCGUGAGUGAUGAAGGCCCUAGGGUUGUAAAGCUCUUUCACCGGUGAAGAUAAUGACGGUAACCGGAGAAGAAGCCCCGGCUAACUUCGUGCCAGCAGCCGCGGUAAUACGAAGGGGGCUAGCGUUGUUCGGAUUUACUGGGCGUAAAGCGCACGUAGGCGGACUAUUAAGUCAGGGGUGAAAUCCCGGGGCUCAACCCCGGAACUGCCUUUGAUACUGGUAGUCUUGAGUUCGAGAGAGGUGAGUGGAAUUCCGAGUGUAGAGGUGAAAUUCGUAGAUAUUCGGAGGAACACCAGUGGCGAAGGCGGCUCACUGGCUCGAUACUGACGCUGAGGUGCGAAAGCGUGGGGAGCAAACAGGAUUAGAUACCCCAGUAGUCCC